GGAGACGCUGAGGAAGAGCUUCCGGCAGGUGCAGUCCGUACUGGAUCAGAACCGUGCUCUGAUUCAGCAGGCGAAUGAUAACCACCAGUCUAGGGUCCAAGACAAUCUCGUCAAGAACGUUGACCUGAUCCGCCAGAUCAACGCGGCGAGCUAUUGUGCCGGGCAAGACCGAUGAUGAGAAGGUUGUGAAGAAGGCGACGACAGAGAAUUGAACUAAAUUGAAUUGAAUUGGGGGCGGUUUUAGCCUUGAAUCACCAGUAAUUUCGAUCACCUCUAGGUGAUAGAUUUUCCGGUUGGUUAAUUGAUUGAAGAACUGGGUCUAUCGACUUAAAAACGACAGAUUUACGGAUGGAGGAUUGCACCAGGGUAGGUCUUGAUUUUCUAUUGUGCCAGUCUUUAUUUAUUCAUAAUAUCGUGAUCCAGUAAAGUGGUGCUUUGAAGGUGAGUUAGACGAUCUCCAGGUAUUUAAAUAUUAGAAAAUUGAUCAAUUGCAAUAUUUGAGUUUAUUAUGUAUAGUUUGAUAUAUCUAUAUAUUUGGUUGAAGUAUAUUUGUAGAAAAUGCUAAGCAACGGUAUAGUGAGGAAAGCAAGAAUAAAAAAUUAAUGUGAGGAUAGAUUCAGAGGAUUAUUGUUUAUUUUCUUUCAUUAUAUCUCCUUUAAUGUGUGAACGUAAUGUGAGCAUUAGAAACACAUCUUCAAUUUUGAAUCUUCUUUUGAGAGGCACCAUCAUGCUGAGUAAAACGACUGGAAGUCCAGAAUAUAGGCUUAAGCUAAUAUUGGGGAAGUCGGUAGUUAUUGGAUUGUUACUGGAAUGGCUGGGUUCUGAGGCUCUGUUCUACAAUUAUGAUGAGCAUCUUGAUUUUAUACAGGAUUGAAAGAGUGCUGACGAAUUAUCAGCUCUGAGGGAAAGCAUUCUCUAGUUGUGAUUUUGGUGGACAGAACUAGACUUUAGGAGCCAUAGGCAUUUAGAACCUGUUUUUCCUUCUUUCAUGUCUCUUUGGUUUUAGUAUAAUUAUAUAGGUCAUUGAUUCUCAUAGUACUGGCAGCAAAAUGUUGGUGCUACAUUGUUCUGGUAAACUUUUAAUUUGAUAAGCUAUGGUCUAUGGGAUAUUGUUUCCUUGGUGAGGCUACCAUCCAUUAAGUGUUCUCAAAAUGUUCCUUAUAUUCUCCUUUUCCUUUAUUCACCAAUGGUGUUAAGGCUUGUCAUAGCUUAUUGAUUAUCAUGUAUGGUGGUUGUCACAUUUUAUCAGCAUGUUGUUUAUGGGAUUUUGCCAAGGUUUUUAUUUGUUCAGUAGUUAA